UUCCCCAACCAGGGAUUGAAACUGUGCUCCCUGCAGUGGGAGCGCGGAGUCUUAACCACUGGACUGCCAGGGGAGUCCCUGGUUUGACUUUUAAGAGGCCAUCACUGUACCUUGUGGCCUCUGUCCACGUUGGGUGAAAUUUACAAAGGGUUGCAGGGAUUAAAAACUUACAUUAAUUUGAAAGCUAAUAAACCUGUCAGAGAACAGGUUGUUGCUUUUCCUAUACUGAAUCUUGUGCCCCCAGCUCCCUUCCCAUCUACUGUAACAGUUAGAUUGUGUAGAGGAGGUUGAGACUCAUCAGACUGAGAUUUCUGCUCUCUGUCUCAGGAGAAGUUAAGAAUCACUGGUGAUCAUUUCAUCUUUCAGCAUACUUGUUAGUGGAGAGUCAUGGAGCUGAGGCACAGGUUCUGUAGAAACCAUGAAUAGCAAAGCAGGGUCUGGUCUGCCCAGUGGAGGAGGUCACCUUGGAAAACAUCUGGUGUAGACUGUGUGUUUCAAACCCAAGAAGAAUAGGAAAACCAGGGAUGGAAGGAGACACUGCUUUAAAUCACAAAAUGCAGCUCUCCUGCCUUAAUAGAUAAUUAGGAUUUUAUAACUAGGUAAUAAGUGAUAAAAACAAGGUUUGGGGUGGCUUAAAAUCUGUGUUGUCCUGAGUGGUAGUCUUCUUACAACUUUGAACUAUGUGAGGGAGAAAGCUUGUCUCUCAGGAAUCCUGUUGCCAGCUCUGUCUGGAUUAUCUAGCUUGUGUCACACCAUGGCCUCUCUCUCAAGCACUUCCUGCUAGCGUCUACCUUUAGCCCUGUCACUCACCUGGGUGGGGAGGAAGGAAGCAUGAAAUGAAAAGCAUCCGUUUUUCUAUCUAUAAAAAGCAGGGAGGCCAAUGUGACUGGACCUACAGGGCUGGCUGGCAGCCUGUUUAUGUUUGCCUUCCCUGGGCCCAGACCCAGGAAGAGAGAAAGAUGGCUUCUCAAACCCAGAGUUGGGAGGGCAUUCUAGACUUUUGCAGGACCAUUCUAGACUGAAGGUCGAGCCCCUAACUAUUAGUGGCUUAGGCUAGUCCCUUGCAUCCUCAUUUCUUUCACUCUCCGCCUCGUGAGUUCUUCCCUCUGGCUACCUCUCAGGAAUCUCAACUCAGUUCCACCUUCUGUAGAUACAUCACAGUAGCUGUGAGUUUGGAGCUAGACAUUGACUAGCUGGGUCAUUUGGGCAAAGUCCUUAACCUCUCUGGGCCUCAGUUUUCUCCUCAGUAGAUAGGAAUAAGGACACCAACUUCCUGGUGAGGCUGAAAGAUGAUCUAGAUUAGACGCUUGGUGUGGUAUUUGGUGCUCGGUAAAUGGUAGCUAUCCUCAUUUGUACUGUUACCCUUGGCCUUCCCCGUUUGUGGGUAGCGUGUCUAGGGCUUCUGUUAGUGGUGGUUUAUGGCAGGUUUAUCCAUCCUACUGGCAUUCUUCAGUUGCAGCUAGAACAGUGACAUGAUGACAGGUCAGAUCUGGUCGUCAGAGCUCCAACCACCUGCUUCUGCUGUGUGCUUCCCUCUUAGCUAAAUGUUAAUUGCUCAGGCACACCCAGUUCCUUGGCUCGGGUGUCCUAGCCGUGGGUAUAUGGCUCAGCUGUCGUCUUAAGCCCCUCCAGAAAAACAAAAAGGAGAGAGAGUUCAGUGGCAGUGUACCAUCACUUGGACUUGGAUAUUUCUUGACUUCUCGGCGUGCGCAGCCCACUUACACAUAACAGUAUGGAAGGCAGGUUCUGCUUGGUGGGAGGCUAGAUCUUGGCAACACUUUCAUAGUGUUGAACACAAGAAGCCAGUCGCCCAUUUAUGCCUUAGUGACGCUGGCAAGGGGCUGGCGUUUUGCUCCCUUACCUGCUGCAGCAAUGGUUUCGGGAAAGAGGGAGCAUCACAGCACUAAUAGGUGAAUGGGACCCAGCUUCAGAGCUUCACGGAGUGAUGGGCAGCACAGCCCAGAGACACCCUCUGCUGUGAGCUUUAGGCCAUCGGCUGGGCAUCUCCCUCACUGUUUUAGAAAUUGUCAUACACAUCAUUAUCUGUUAUGUCGAUUUGUUCAUCGGCCAGCAUUUACUGAGGGCCUGCUAUAGACGGGCCAGGCACUGUUUGGGAUGUUUGCAGACUGUAGUGUCUUUCAUCAUGAAAAAAAUUCCUGUGAAACAGCCAUACUCUACAUUUUAUAGAGGUAACUGAAAUUUACAGUGGUUCAGUGACUUGUCCAAGGUCACACAGGUAGGUAUCAGAACCAGAAUUUUAAUUUGAGCCUUUGUCUGAUUUUCUGUGGUUUCAAUGAAACUUUAAAACAAUUGCCAGUGCCCAGGCCUCAGUGGAAGUGAUUCAAGGGUGAAAGAGUCUUUUAAUCAGAUUUCCAAGUUCACUUUUCAUCCUGUUGUCCAUAUGCAAGAACCAAAUAGUAGCACCAAGGCUUGGUUUGUUUGUUUUUAUUGAAAUACAGUUCAUUGUAUAACAUUAGUUUCAGGUGUACAACAUAAUUAUAUAUUGUGAAAUGAUCCAUCACCACACAGUUACCAAAACAUCUUUCUCUUGUGAUGAAAGUUUUUGAGAUCUACUCUCUUAGCAACUUUCAGAUAUACAAUCUGGUAUUAUUAACUGUAGUCACCAUGCUGUACAUAACAUCCCCAGGACUUACUUAUUUCGGUUUGUUUUUUAAGUGGUGAUUUUCCUGGUCAGGAUUUCAGUACAUUCCUUUCCCUGGUGAACUCAAACCAGCUGGCAGUAGAGGGCUUACUUGACUGAUCCACCCAACCUCGGGCAGAGAAGGGGGAAGAAAAAGAUGGCUGGGUCUGCUCCUAUGCAGCUGUGAAGUGGGGGCCGCCGGCACCGCACUGAGGUAGGUGGUCCAUAGGAGUUUGAGCAUUUAUGAUGGGCCCUGAUGCAAGGCAGGGACUCUACCUCAACCUGGCCCAGUAGAUGUCAGUCUCCAUAGCUUCACCAGUCUGGUAAAUUAUCCCCAUGGGGAGAUGUAAAGGAGAGGCCUGCAUCAGAAGGUGUUGCCCCAAUACACCCAUCCCCUGAGGGCUCAGGAGGGGAAGUGGGGCUGGGAAGAGAAGGCUGUUCCACUAUAGAGGCCUCUGGUCAAUCAGAACUUGACAGAUUUUCCAGACUGAGUUGGGUACAAACUUCCCUGGAUGUGACAUCCAGCUAGACUCACUUCAGCUACCAAACAGGAGGGUAAAGUAAGCAGUCGUGUGGUGUUAUUUCUACCAACACGCAGUCUUGCAGCUGGCCUGAGCAAGGGCUGGAUGUGAACUAGGGGAGCCGGAUGCACUGGUCCUGGGAUUCUACCCACAGUGCCAAGCUGGCCCCGGGAUGCUGUGCUGUGAUUUCCCAAAGGUCCUUGAGGAAAUCCCUGCUCCCUGCAGUCCUGCAGUCCUCUCAGGAGAAGUGGAAGUGUCCCUGGAGGAUAUUUCAGCCAACUUUUGGAGGCCACGGAAUCAGAAGAGGCAUCACGAGCCUAGGAUACAGAUGUCCCUUGCUUGCUUCCGCCAGGAGAUGAAAUGAGGACCCAGACUAGUCAAGGUCAUGGAGAUAAACAGGGCAGAACCAAGCUAGCCCCCAAGUCAGCAUUUGGCUACCUUCUCGGCCAGCAAAGCUGUUUACUCCCUGGGAAAUGUUCAGAGACCACAAGUUCAGCCAUCUAGGAUGCCUUGCUCUCCUGCCUGUCCCCCAAGCACAACCGUGGAAGGAAGGAAUGACGUGUGGAGCCACGUAGCUACAUUAGGAGACUUGGAGCAUGCAGGCCGGGGCCUCCCUCACAGCCUUGGAGCCUUCCUCCCUACAGCCUGGAUUCCUGCAGAAGUGUAGGCACCAACUGAAAAGGUUUAAUUGGCUGGUAUCACAGCUGCUGUUCCUGGCCUGGCUCCCCACUAGACCACAGGCCCUGGAAGGGCAGAGGCCAUGGCUUGUGCAUCCUGGUCUCCUCAGUGCCGCACAGAAACAUACUCUGUAGAGACAAGCUGCAUGAAUGAGCGGGAGAGUGCGGGCCUGCCUAGAGAUGCUUCCACCACCUGCUCUUGACUUCCUGUGCAUGGGUGUGCACGCAUGCUCGUGUGUCAGGGACGGGGGAUGAAGCUACACCAAGUGUUUCCCAAAAAGCAGCUGUAUACAAGCGCCAGAUGAGGAGAUGAGGCCCAAAGAGCUUAAGCUCAGAAGGUCACAGAACCAGGACGUGGCAGAACUGGGAUUUGAACCCAGGCCUUGCUGGCUCCAUACUGAAUGCUCUGUCUCUUCAGCAGCGAUGCAUCUCUGUGUGACCCCAAACCUGGCCCCUCCUGCCCCCUGCCCACCCACGCUGGCUCACCUUGCAGGAACGCAGGAUAAUGAUGCCCGAGUUUUUAUAGCUCUUCUUCUUCUUUUGCUUCUUGGGGUUGAUACACUCAAACUCCCGCUGGGCAACAUGGGAGGAGAAAGAGAAGCUCAGCUUGGGGCUUCUGCAGGGACUGACCCUCCCCUGGACCGCAGAAUCUACUCCACAGCGCUGAUCAAGGGGCAGCAUGCCUCCUCCAGGAAGCCUUCCCAGAAAUGGUUCCUGCCACCUUGGGCUCAUGCCAAGCUUUAUCUGCCCAAGGUAAGAUGUGCAUCUGCCCUCCGUCCCCAGACAAUUCAUCCACGUCAUGUCCACUCGUGUGCCCAGAACUGUCGCCCAGGGCCUGGCUUCUUGGAGUUAAAGGGACAGUUCCCGAGUGCUCACUAUGCACUAGGCGCUUUACCUGUAUAAUCUCAUUUCAUUCCCACUCUACUCUUCUGCCUCCACUUGACGGAUGGGGAAACUGAGGCUCAGAGAGAUUAAAUAUCUUGCUCAAGGUCAUAAGGCAGCAAGGUGGGAUCUGAGCCCCAGUCUGUCUGAUUCAAAAACAGGUGCCCCUUCCCCAUCCCCUGCUGAGGUCUUGGGGUCACGCACAUGUGCACAUCUUACCGGGAUGCCGUCAUGAGCCUCGCACAUCUGUGACACUGAGGUCUGGAAUUCACCAAUGAAGUCGUGGCCCCCGUCAUUGUCAUAGUCGUAGCACAUAACCUGGAGUGGGUCCAGUGAGGUCACCCCAGAGCUGCCUGCAGGAGGCACUCACCAGCUCCCUGAGCAAUGGGGGGUGGUACCUCCCUCUCCCCCCAGAUCUGACUAGCUGGCUUGGGAUGAUGCCAGUAGCUCCUAAACUGCAUCCUGCAGGAAGCCUUCCAGGAUUGAUGGGAAAAGGAGAAAGGGUGCCUACUCUAGUAUUGGAGGCCAUUCCCUCUGGUGCAGGAAGCCGCACACCUCAACCAGCUGCUAAUCUAUCUUCGGUUGUGGCCCACCUGGCCUCAUGGGCCAUGGUCUGGAGUCCUCCCUUGACUGGUAUUUUUUUCCUAAGAUGGGCACAAAAAGUCCCAGCUUGAUAUGCUCUCUACCUUAGCUGCCAUGACACUCCUAGAAGGAAGGCAGGAAUUAUCAUACCCAUUGUACUGAUGGGUAAACUGAGGCCCUGAGUGGGAAGCACUUUGCCCAAAGUCUCACAGUGGCAAUAGCAGACCCAGAACUAGAACCCAAGUUUCUCGGUACCCUGUCUGGGGAUCCCUACAUGGUCUCGGGGCCUUGCCCACCUCAUCUGCUCUCAGACACGGCCCUCGAGGACGGAGGGCUUUUAGAGACUAGCAAUCGUCGUCUUUGCCACAGCAACAACACCUGGUUGUUUCCAAGGUGAUUGUGCAUUCAUCAUCCUAGCUAGCAGCACACAGCCCUCCGGGAGGAACAGGACAGUCACUCUGUUUCCAUUUUAAACAAGGGGUUCACAGAGAUGAGGGCCCUGCCCAGAACACUCAGAGGGUCAGGCAGACCCGGGACAAGGACUCAGGUCUCCUGCCCCUCCCCCACACUGGUUAUUUUUUCCAUCUUAAUAAGGAGCUUUGUUGAGGCACCCCCCAGAAAGCCUCAGGUAACUGAGAGGCUGGAGCUGGCAGGGUGGGUAGCAGGGUUCCUGUAGCCCCCCUCACCUGGAUGGGCUUCUCCAUGUCUCCAUCACACAGGGACACCAAUGGCACAGUGAAUGGCUUCCACACGGGGUCCAGCGUGUACUUGAUCACCUGCAGGACAGUGAGGGGCAAGGGUGAGCUCAGGCCCAGGGGUGGCAGUGCUCUGGGGUCAGGCCAGCCCAAUGGGACAGGAAGUGGCAAGGUGGAGAGAGCCACAGCCACACUUCUGGGGAUGGAAGUGAGCAUCCCUGUGAUGGGGAGGGAAUGAGUCCUUUAGGGGCCAUCAUGGGUUUUUCUGUGCACCGCAGGACUGUGAUUGCUUAGCCCCAUCCUGAGCUGUUGGGGGUGGCCGGACUGCAGACCCACUGGCUCAGAGACCCCUGGAGCCCCCCACACCCACCUCAGUCCUGUGAACCAGCAUCCACUUCCCAUCAUCUCCUGGUUUAUAGAACUCGAGAAAUGGGUCUGACUUCCCAAAGAGGUCCUGGAGAAAGCAGAAGGAUGUGGGUGAGGAAGGCAUAACUCUAACAGAUUCAGAUGGGGUGGAGGCGUGGCCCAGCUGCCUCCCCUACCCAGCAUCAGGAGUGGGAGCUGUGGGCAGGGCCAGCCUGGCCCCCUCCCCUCAACCUCUGCAGGGCUCAGCAGAGGCCCAGGGCAGUUGCAGCUGGGACCAACCAGCAUCCCCAGCAGAAACCACCCCAUCCUGGGGUUACCAGAGCUUGUGCUCAGAGACCCUGAGACCUGGAGCCUGCAGAAGUUACAAUUCCAGCAUCUUAGGUGGGGCAACACAUCAAGAGGGAGAUUGUUCCCAGGACAGGGGGAAGGCACCCAGCAGGAUGGGGUUUUAAUUUAUUUUAGUGGCGUUCUGAAAAACUGAAACUAUCCUAGCAGAAGAGUCCUUUAAAACUCCAUUUACUUAAGAAAAUGUGGACUCUAAAGAGGCUGUAUUUAAGAGGGGGAGACAUAAAAUAAAUGAGUAAAUAAUAUACAUUAGGCGGCAAUUAGUGUUAAGGAGACAGGUAAAGGAGGAGGUGGUGGGAAAUCAGGGAUGAUUGCAAUUUCAGGAAAGGCCUCACUAGGAGGUGACAUCUGAGCAAAGGCCUGAUGAGGGUGAGGGAAGGGAGAGAAAAUUCAGGUCAAAGAACAUCCCAAGCAGAGGGGACAGCAAGUGCAAAGGUCCUGAGGCAGGAGGGUGCCUUUAAUCCUAGGACAAUGAAGAGGCUGAUUUGGCUAAAACAGAAUGAAGGCUGGGAGUGUGGAAGGGGUGAGGUCAGGGAGUCAGGGGGCUGUGGACACAUCAGGUGGGGUCCUGUAGGUCAUUGUAAGGACCCAGCAUUUACACUGAGAUGGGGAGCCCCAAUGAGUGGGUUUCCAGCCAUGUCUUAACUAUAUCUAAGUGAUAGGAAACUCACUACCUGGCAAAGCAGUCCUAAUUUGGGGUGACCAGUAGGACCAUGUACUAUGGACUUGCCCCUGGAGGGGCAAUGAAGGUGGUGGCCAGAAGUCCCAGGCCACACAACCCCAGGGCUGGGGGAGGGGUGCUGCUUCUUGAUGGAGAACCCCUUCCCCUGCCUGCCUCACCUUCUUGUCCAGCUUCCUGCCCGCCAGGCUCAGCGUGAUGACCCGGUUGUCUGACAGCUCCUGGGCAGCAAUCUAUAAGGCAGAGGAACGUCGGGGGUCAGGGCCUGUUCCUGAGAUUCCCUCCAGCCUCCAUUCAGGCAGGAUGGACGUAGGUUGCCCCAGGAGUCACUUCUCCAGGGUUAGGAAGGGUGUGGAGGGGAAGGAUAGCUCCAGAUGACCUGGGACAAGUCUCUUGUCUUCCUAAAACCUGUUUUCAUCUUCCAGGAAAUGGGGGUAAUAGCUCAUCUGGAUGCGAGGAAUCAGAAUGUGACCCCAAUGUGGCUCAAGAGAGGGGCCAUGAGGUGUGUGAGGAGAUGAAGCAGGGAUCAGACACAGCGGUGGUCUCGAGCCCUGGGGAGAGGUUCUGGGCCAGGGAACAGCCUGACAGGGGCAGCCCUCCUGCAGACCCAGAGAGCACAGGCAACCACCUCAAAACACCAAGGCAUCGGAAAUUCUAACAACUACACUGUGCAGCCAGGGAAACUGAAGCCCAGGGCAGGGCAGGGACCAGCUGAGCUCCCUCUGCUGUCUCAUCAGCUCACGCCGCUCAUCCAUCCUCCAUGCCUUCCACACCAGCCAUGGCCCUCUGCCCCUGGCCAGCCAGUGAUGCACCAGCUGGGUGACCUCGAGGCUGCCAUUAACCCAAGUGGGCUGGGUACUCUCUUGGCUAGGACCUCCUCUCUUCCCACACCUCUAGAUGGCCUCAACUAACAAGCUAUUUGACCCUGAGAACCACAGACAGAGGCCAGG